rnacentral:rRNA from 1 species
UACGUAGGGUGCGAGCGUUAAUCGGAAUUACUGGGCGUAGAGCGUGCGCAGGCGGUUCGUUGUGUCGGCGGUGAAAGCCCCGGGCUUAACCUGGGAAUGGCCGUUGAAACUGGCGAACUGGAGUGUGGCAGAGGGGGGGUGGAAUUCCGCGUGUAGCAGUGAAAUGCGUAGAGAUGCGGAGGAACACCGAUGGCGAAGGCAGCCCCCCUGGGCUAACACUGACGCUCAGGCACGAAAGCGUGGGGGAGCAAACAGG